AGCGGCAUGCAGUAAGAAGCCAAGCAGACUGCAGGGUGCUCUGGAACAGCAGCUGUCAGGAAAGAAGGUCGCUGCUGGACAGGAGAAGACAAAACAGGAUCAUACAGUGACAGGAUGAGUUUCAAGGGCCAAACUGCAGCCCAAACCCAUGGAGACAGGGAACCUGCAGAGACUGCACUUCCCASUGGAGCUUGCUCCUACUCAGUAUUUUCAUUGCCAUUCACUGGAGGCAUAUGUUCUUCUCCAAGCCCUGCAAAGACCUCUGAGGCAAAAGAGGGAGUAGGGGGAUUAAUUUAAAGAUGCUUGAUGGCUUCAGCAAUCUGUAGUGAAUCCCUCCGCAGUUUGAUGUUGCUGACUGUUGGGCUCAGAGAAAUGGGACAAGAAUAGCAGGUACUGCAACAGUCAGGACUUGAAAGAGACUGUCAUGGGAGCUUAAGAUAACUUCAUUAAGUGCUCCUAACAUCUGUAAGUUGCAUCCCA